CCUACGGGUGGCAGCAGUGGGGAAUAUUGGACAAUGGGGAGAACCCUGAUCCAGCCAUGCCGCGUGUGUGAAGAAGGCCCUCGGGUUGUAAAGCACUUUCAGUGAGGAAGAACGCCUGGUGGUUAAUACCCAUCAGGAAAGACAUCACUCACAGAAGAAGCACCGGCUAACUCCGUGCCAGCAGCCGCGGUAAUACGGAGGGUGCGAGCGUUAAUCGGAAUUACUGGGCGUAAAGCGCGCGUAGGUGGCUUGAUAAGCCGGUUGUGAAAGCCCCGGGCUCAACCUGGGAACGGCAUCCGGAACUGUCAAGCUAGAGUGCAGGAGAGGUAGGUAGAAUUCCCGGUGUAGCGGUGAAAUGCGUAGAGAUCGGGAGGAAUACCAGUGGCGAAGGCGGCCUUCUGGACUGACACUGACACUGAGGUGCGAAAGCGUGGGUAGCAAACAGGAUUAGAUACCCUGGUAGUC
rnacentral:rRNA from 1 species